rnacentral:rRNA from 1 species
AUUGAACGCUGGCGGCAUGCCUUACACAUGCAAGUCGAACGGCAGCACGGGUGCUUGCACCUGGUGGCGAGUGGCGAACGGGUGAGUAAUACAUCGGAACGUACCUUAUCGUGGGGGAUAACGCAGCGAAAGUUGCGCUAAUACCGCAUACGCCCUGAGGGGGAAAGCGGGGGACCGUAAGGCCUCGCGCGAUUAGAGCGGCCGAUGUCUGAUCAGCUUGUUGGUGAGGUAAAAGCUCACCAAGGCGAUGAUCAGUAGCUGGUCUGAGAAGACGAUCAGCCACACUGGGACUGAGACACGGCCCAGACUCCUACGGGAGGCAGCAGUGGGGAAUUUUGGACAAUGGGGGCAACCCUGAUCCAGCAAUGCCGCGUGAGUGAAGAAGGCCUUCGGGUUGUAAAGCUCUUUUGUCAGGGAAGAAACAGCAGCUCUAACACAGUCUGCGAAUGACGGUACCUGAAGAAUAAGCACCGGCUAACUACGUGCCAGCAGCCGCAGUAA